GACGAACGCUGGCGGCGUGCUUAACACAUGCAAGUCGAACGGAAAGGCCUGCUUUCCCUUGUGGAUUGCGGGUACUCGAGUGGCGAACGGGUGAGUAACACGUGAGUGAUCUGCCCCCAACUUGGGUAUAAGCCUGGGAAACUGGGUCUAAUUCCCGAUAGGACUGCAGGGUGGUGCCUGUGGUGGAAAACGAUUUUCUAGUGGUUGGGGAUGAGCUCGCGGCCUAUCAGCUUGUUGGUGGGGUAAUGGCCUACCAAGGCGGCGACGGGUAGCCGGCCUGGGAGGGUGGACGGCCACAUUGGGACUGAGAUACGGCCCAGACUCCUACGGGGGGCAGCCGUGGGGAAUAUUGCACAAUGGGCGGAAGCCUGAUGCAGCGACGCCGCGUGGGGGAUGACGGCCUUCGGGUUGUAAACUCCUUUCGACCGCGAGGAAGCCACCUGGUUGGAAGGGUGGUGACGGUAGUGGUAGAAGAAGCACCGGCUAACUACGUG
rnacentral:rRNA from 1 species